rnacentral:rRNA from 1 species
GGAUUAGGCAUGCAAGUCGAGCGAUCCCGCAAGGGAUAGCGGCAAAAGGGUGAGUAACACGUAAGUAAUCUUCCUUUAAGACGAGGAUAGCACUGUGAAAACGGUGGUAAUACUCGAUGUUAUCGGAUGUCCGCAUGGACGACCGAUCAAAGACGGGGACCGCAAGGCCUGUCGCUUGAAGAUGAGCUUGCGUACCAUCAGCUAGUUGGUAGGGUAACGGCCUACCAAGGCUAAGACGGUUAGCUGGACUGAGAGGUUGACCAGCCACACUGGGACUGAGACACUGCCCAGACUCCUACGGGAGGCUGCAGUCGAGAAUAUUUAGCAAUGGACGAAAGUCUGACUAUGCGACGCCGCGUGCAGGAUGAAGGUCUUCGGAUUGUAAACUGCUUUUGUUAGGGGAGAAACCUGUAUAGUUAAUAGCUGUACAGCUGACGGUACCUGACGAAUAAGCCACGGCAAACUCUGUGCCAGCAGCCGCGGUAAUA